UACGUAGGGUGCAAGCGUUGUCCGGAAUUAUUGGGCGUAAAGAGCUCGUAGGCGGUCUGUCGCGUCUGCUGUGAAAACUCGGGGCUUAACCCCGGGCCUGCAGUGGGUACGGGCAGACUAGAGUGCGGUAGGGGAGACUGGAAUUCCUGGUGUAGCGGUGAAAUGCGCAGAUAUCAGGAGGAACACCGGUGGCUAAGGCGGGUCUCUGGGCCGUAACUGACGCUGAGGAGCGAAAGCGUGGGGAGCGAACAGG
rnacentral:rRNA from 1 species